rnacentral:rRNA from 1 species
UACAGAGGUCUCAAGCGUUGUUCGGAUUCAUUGGGCGUAAAGGGUGCGUAGGCGGCGCGGUAAGUCGGGUGUGAAAUUUCGAGGCUUAACUUCGAAACUGCAUUCGAUACUGCGGUGCUUGAGGACUGGAGAGGAGACUGGAAUUCAUGGUGUAGCAGUGAAAUGCGUAGAGAUCAUGAGGAAGACCAGUGGCGAAGGCGGGUCUCUGGACAGUUCCUGACACUGAGACACGAAGGCCAGGGGAGCAAACGGG